GGGGAAUAUUGGACAAUGGGCGCAAGCCUGAUCCAGCCAUGCCGCGUGGGUGAAGAAGGCCUUCGGGUUGUAAAGCCCUUUUGUUGGGAAAGAAAAGCAGCCGGCCAAUACCCAAGAUGAGUGGACGUUACUCGCAGAAUAAGCACCGGCUAACUCUGUGCCAGCAGCCGCGGUAAUACAGAGGGUGCGAGCGUUAAUCGGAUUUACUGGGCGUAAAGCGUGCGUAGGCGGCUUUUUAAGUCGGAUGUGAAAUCCCCGAGCUUAACUUGGGAAUUGCAUUCGAUACUGGGAAGCUAGAGUAUGGGAGAGGAUGGUAGAAUUCCAGGUGUAGCGGUGAAAUGCGUAGAGAUCUGGAGGAAUACCGAUGGCGAAGGCAGCCAUCUGGCCUAAUACUGACGCUGAGGUACGAAAGCAUGGGGAGCAAACA
rnacentral:rRNA from 1 species